GGUCAAGCUACAAAGGGCUCACGGUGGAUACCUUGGCACACAGAGGCGAUGAAGGACGUGGUUACCUGCGAUAAGUCUCGGGGAGCUGGAAACACGCUUUGAUCCGGGAAUUUCCGAAUGGGGCAACCCCUAGAACGGCUA
rnacentral:rRNA from 1 species